rnacentral:lncRNA from 1 species
GGGGGUCCCUUUUUAUAGGCGGAGAGCAUAACUGAUUGAUAGCGAUGUCUGUAACCGCCUGGUAGUGGGCCAUUCAGAGCCACGCGGAGUUUGUUAUGGAGAGUAGUGGCGUCAGGGGCCGUUCAGGGCCACGUGAAGUUUGUUACGGAGAGUGGAGUGGUGUUCGUUGUCGUGACUUGCCAGAGAAUGGUGGAGCCUGGAGAGUGGAGUGGUGUCCGUUGUCGUGACUUGCCAGAGAGUGGUGGAGCCAUGCGAAAUCCGUUGCAGAGAAUGGAGUAGGGUAGUGGCCAUUGUCGUGACUUGCCAGAGAGUUUGGAUUUGUCGGCUGGAGCUCGGUUGAGAUGUCUGAUGGAGCGGAAUGGCUCUCUAUCUCAUCGAUCUAAGAGAAGCUCGGAUAUUUCUGAGGCUGCUGAUGAGUCUACUGUUGUCAGAUGCCUCAGGCGAUGAUGCUACAGGCGGGAGUCAUCUACUGUCAAAGCUCGGAUGGAGACUUUCUAUGGGUGAAGUCCGGUAGGAGUCCGAUUGCUAGAGAAGUCCGUCUGGGAUUUGCUUGAUGUGGAAGCUCGUUUGAAGAUUAUGCAUCAGAGAAGUCUGAUUUCAUGAAGAAUCUGGUAGAGGGUCGGUCGGCGGUGGACUUCGGAUGGUGUUGGGGAGGUUCGUCUGCUGGAGGAGUUUGGGGAUACUGUGGA